rfam:Morus notabilis contig6737, whole genome shotgun sequence.
AUCCCUUUUGUCCAAUGGUUAGGACAUCGUCUUUUCAUGUCGAAGAAACGGGUUCGAAUCCCUUAAGGGAUG